CCAGCCAUGCCGCUGUGUGUGAAGAAGGUCUUCGGAUUGUAAAGCACUUUAAGUUGGGAGGAAGGGUUGUAGAUUAAUACUCUGCAAUUUUGACGUUACCGACAGAAUAAGCACCGGCUAACUCUGUGCCUGCAGCCGCGGUAAUACAGAGGGUGCAAGCGUUAAUCGGAAUUACUGGGCGUAAAGCGCG
rnacentral:rRNA from 1 species